GUCGGCUGCCCCUUGAUCCAGCAAUCCGACCCCGAGUCGGACAUCUUCGGCUCCGCAGCCCGACCCCGAGUCGGACAUCUCUCGACAACAACAGGCUAUUCCCCAGAGGCACGCCGCAGCCUCCUGCUCCACUACUCCCUGCAACGGUUGUAUCUGGCGCUGCUCCACGAUCCCCUGUAACGGCCGUACAAGGCGGAGCUCCACUACGCCCUAUCAUGUCCGUACCCAGCGCUGCCCCACGACGCCCUGUAACGGCCGUGUCAGUGGCAGCUCCAUCGUGCCCCACGAUGACGAACCCCCCUGAAA
rnacentral:lncRNA from 1 species